rnacentral:lncRNA from 1 species
ACUUUGUGUCUAAGCGCAGGGAGGAAGCAGAGCCCGGGGCCCUCGCCCUCCUCUCUCCGGGGGUGAAGACGCCUUAGGCAGCCAGUUUUCCCUCGCACUCCCUGAGAAGCAGCUGGCCUCUUGGGGGAGGUGGGGUCUCAGGAAUUGAUCUUGUUUCCUCUCUUCCUUGUGGAGAUAAUUAGGCUUCCAGGCUUGGGAGCCCUUCACCCACUUCCUCUGGGUUCUUAUCCUCUUGUCCAGAGCAGCAGUGACACCCUCCCCGCCAGGUCUUGCCUCUGCGCUCUCCUGCUGUGCCGCUGGGUGGCGCUGCGCCUCCUCCACCCGCUUCGCCCCCAUCUAAGCUCCGUCUCCGGCCGUAGACAGCCUGAGGAGGCCGCCAGCCCUUUCACAUGAAAUCAGCCUGCUUUGUUUUUGUUUUAAUUUGGUCUUUGAUUCCUUUUACUGUUGGCAGAAACAAUGUUAAUUCCUGGGCCUCUUCCUUGCUAAAUUUUGGGGUGGGGGGUGCACUGUGAUCCAUGAGGGAUGCAAUGAGAAUGGAGGCUGCCUUCCGUGGUGGUGGUUGCCUUUUG